rnacentral:misc_RNA from 1 species
AAGUCGUAACAAGGUAACCGUAGGUGAACCUGCGGUUGGAUCAUUAACAAUUUAAAAAGGAGAGGGAGACCUCGACUUUAACAUUGUGAAUUUUGCUAGUUUGGGUGGGUUAAAACAGCUCUAGCAAUAGAGUUGGAGUUUACCUUACGGUGAUCUAACCCAUCUGUUAUAAACUUUUAAAAAGUCUUUAAACAAAUUUAACAAAAAACAACUUUUGACAACGGAUCUCUUGGCUCUC